CGGAAUGUGGAAGAGUGGCGAACGGGUGAGGAACACGUAAGAAUCUGCCCCUCGGUCGGGGACAACUCUUGGAAACGAGAGCUAAUACCCGAUACGCUGUGGAGUGAAAGAAUUUCGCCGAGGGAUGAUCUUGCGUCUGAUUAGCUAGUUGGUGUGGUAAUGGCCUACCAAGGCAACGACGGGUAGCUGGUCUGAGAGGAUGAUCAGCCACACUGGGACUGAGACACGGCCCAGACUCC
rnacentral:rRNA from 1 species